GACGAACGCUGGCGGCGUGCCUAACACAUGCAAGUCGAGCGAAGUUAUUCCUUCGGGGAUAACUUAGCGGCGGACGGGUGAGUAACACGUGGGUAACCUGCCUUAUAGAGGGGGAUAGCCUUCCGAAAGGAAGAUUAAUACCGCAUAACAUCAGAUUCUCGCAUGGGGAUUUGAUCAAAGGAGUAAUCCGCUAUAAGAUGGACCCGCGGCGCAUUAGCUAGUUGGUGAGGUAACGGCUCACCAAGGCGACGAUGCGUAGCCGACCUGAGAGGGUGAUCGGCCACAUUGGGACUGAGACACGGCCCAGACUCCUACGGGAGGCAGCAGUGGGGAAUAUUGCACAAUGGGGGAAACCCUGAUGCAGCAACGCCGCGUGAGUGAUGAAGGCCUUCGGGUUGUAAAGCUCUGUCUUUGGGGACGAUAAUGACGGUACCCAAGGAGGAGGCCACGGCUAACUACGUGCCAGCCGCCGCGGUAACAC
rnacentral:rRNA from 1 species